UGUUUAUUUUCGUAUCGGUGCCGCUUUUAAUGCACUUUAUAUGCAGCGUUAGUGUCAGAUAUAAUGUGUGCCAUGCACUCCAGAUGUUGGUGGAGUUUGUUUCAGUGUGUGUUGACCAGAGAAGAGAGUUAGCAUAGUAAAUGUUAGCUUUAAUGUUAGCGAUGCUAACCAAGCUAGCUGCUCAGUCGUAGCCUGAUUAAAGCUAACGUAGCAUCAAGCUAACGAUGUUUGUGUUGAGUUUCAUGUAAACAGCUGAAGUGUGUUGUGUUCCUGUAAUGUGGUUCAUUAAGUUCAUAAAACUGUGGCUGGUUGACAUUAAUGUAACGUACAGGAAACUUAAAUGUGAUUAAAACAGUAACGUUAAUGUUCUAGUUGUCAGUAAUCAGCUUUAAUUUGACACUAAAACAGACUGAUAGUUUUUAAAUGACAUCAGUUUCAUUAAUUUGUUGAAAAUUGUCUCAUUUGUUGUUGUAAUGUUGCUGAUGAUUCAUUAAAAGCAGAUGAUCCGUGUUGAAGAUACGUUUAGUUCUAGUAUCAGAAGUACAAGAAGGAAAAUGGAAGUUUAGUUCUGCUACAUCAAAGAUUUCAGGAAUAAAAUAACUAAAUGAGUCUUUAUACCUCAAACUUUAUUUUUACAAUAAAGAAAUAAUGAAAUAAUCACAGAUAAUAAAAAUAUAAAUAGCAGAGAAAACCUGAGAGAAUAAUUUCCUGAAAGGUCUGUGAAGGAAAAGCAGCUUUUUAUCCUGAAAGAUCAGAAUCAGCUCCAACAUCUGCAUCUGACAGCAUCAAGUCAACCAGAAAGAAAAGAAAAAAGAAAAUGACUUCUUUUUGAUCACAUCUGUUCCACUGCUCACAGGCUGCUGCUGCUGCUCACAUUCUUCACAUUUAUAAUCCACUUUUUCAGCAGACAGGUGCUCUGCUUUGGAGUGUGACGAUGUUGUCGGUGAUGUGGAGAGUGAAGUUUCCGUUUCACCCACAGCGUGCUUUAGGGCAGCCGGGUCGGACUUGAUGUUUGAAAUACUGACCGACAGCUCAGAUUUAACUGUCUGUAGUUCUGUUUUGAUGGGUAUUAAACUUUCUUUCAAUGCCGACAGGAGCUGGGUCUUUAAAAUAACCGCCGUCUCGUUACAGAGUGAAAGCAGCAGUUCCUCCUUAAGGUUCAGAGAUUGCAGCAUCUGAGGGCCUCUUCAAAAGAAGAUGUAGUUGAUGAAGGCGUUCUGGAGCAGGACCAGAAAGACCACGACCAAGCAGCCUUGAGAUCUUAGGCAGCGUCUCCCUCAGAAUCAACUGAUAAUCGAGGCUGUGAGAUGGUUAUAAGCUGUGGGACACCACCUAGACCUGACCUGAAGCAGAGAACGAUUCUAAAUUGAAGUUUAAUUUAAUACACAGAUGGUUCAACCAGCAGACCCUCUGACGUCACACGUCAUGCAGGUUAUGCUGUAGUCAAUGACUAGUAAAUAGUGGAAGUGGGUACUCUCCCCCCUGAGUAGCUCAGUACAGGCAGUUGAACUGUUUGCUGUUAUUAUCUCCAAGGACAAGGUCUCUAGCCUUUACACAGACUCCUGCUAACUUUAGGAGCAGCUUAUGAUUUGGCUCAAAAUAUGGAAAUAGAGAGGAAUUUAAACAUCAAGUGGAAAGCCACUAAAAAAAAAAAAAAAAAAAAAAAAAAAAAAACUUAAGCAAAGGCUCAAAAAUUUGAUUAAAACUUUUUUAUUGCCUGAACAAUUGGUUACUCUAACAUGUAGGACAGACUUUUGGUUCUAACUCUGAUUCCUCUUUCGACAUCGCAGAAUUUCCUAACAGUCAUAGUAUAGCAUGUCGCUCUAAAAACGUCAUAGUAUAGCAUGUCGCUCUAAAUACGUCAUAGUAUAGCAUGUCGCUCUAAAUACGUCAUAGUAUAGCAUGUCGUCCAAAAAACAUCAUGGUAUAGCAUGUCGCUCUAAAAACAUAGCAUAUCGUUUGGUCCAAAAAACAUCAUAGCAUAGUAUGUCGUUCAAAAAACAUCAUGGUAUAGCAUGUCGCUCAAAAAACAUUAUAGUAUAGCAUGUUGCUCUAAAAACGUCAUAGUAUAGCAUGUCACCCAAAAAACAUCAUAGUAUAGCAUGUCACUCUAAAAUUGUCAUAGUAUAACAUGUCACUCUAAAAACGUCAUAGUAUAGCCUUUGGUCUAAAAACGUGAUAGUAUAGCAUGUCGCUUUAAAAACGUCAUUGUAUGGGAUGUUGCUCAAAAAACGUCAUUGUAUAGCAUGUCGCUCAAAAAAUGUCAUUGUAUAGCAUGUCGCUCUAAAAAUGUCAUUGCAUAGCCUUUGGUCCAAAAAAACGUCAUAGUAUAGCAUGUCGUCCAAAAAACAUCAUAGUAUAGCAUGUCGCUCUAAAAAUGUCAUAGCAUAGCAUGUCGCUCUAAAAAUAUCAUAGUAUAGCAUGUCGCUCUAAAAACGUCAUGGCAUAGCAUGUCGCUCUAAAAACGUCAUAGCAUAGCAUGUCGCUCUAAAAACGUCAUAGCAUGUCGCUCUAAAAAUGUCAUAGUAUAGCAUGUCGCUCUAAAAACGUCAUAGUUUAGCAUGUCACUCUAAAAACUUCAUAACAUAGCAUGCCGCCCAAAAAAUGUCAUAGUAUAGCAUGUCGUCCAAAGAACAUCAUGGUAUAGCAUGUCGCUCUAAAAACAUCAUAGUAUAGCAUGUCGCUCUAAAAACGUCAUAGCAUGCCGCUCUAGAAACGUCAUAGUAUAGCAUGUGGCUCAAAAAACGUCAUAGUAUAGCAUGUCGUCCAAAGAACAUCAUGGUAUAGCAUGUCGCUCUAAAAACGUCAUAGUAUAGCAUGUCGUCCAAAGAACAUCAUAGUAUAGCAUGUCGCUCUUAAAACGUCAUAGUAUAGCAUGUCGCUCUAAAAACGUCAUAGUGUAGCAUGUCGCUCUAAAGACGUCAUAGUAUUGCCUUUGGUCCAAAAAACGUCAUAGUAUAGCAUGUCGUCCAAAAAACAUCAUCGUAUAGCAUGUCGCUCUAAAAAUGUCAUAGUAUAGCAUGGCACCCAAAAAACGUCAUCGUAUAGCAUGUCGCUCUAAAAACAUCAUAGUAUAGCAUGUCACUCUAAAAACCUCACAGUAUAGCAUGUUGCCCAAAAUACGUCACAGUAUAGCAUGUCGAUCUAAAAACGUCACAGCAUAGCAUGUCGCUCUAAAACGGUCAUACUAUAGCAUGUCGCUCUUAAAAACGUCAUUGUAUAGCCUGUUGUCCAAAAAACGUCAUAGUAUAGCAUGUCGUCCAAAGAACAUCAGAGUAUAGCAUGUUGCUCUUAAAACAUCAUAGUAUGGCAUGUCGCUCUAAAAACGUCAUAGUAUAGCAUGUUGCCCAAAAACAUCAUAGUAUAGCAUAGCAUGUGGCUCAAAAAACGUCAUCGUAUAGCAUGUCGCUCUAAAAACGUCAUCAUAUAGCAUGUCGCCCUAAAAACGUCAUAGUAUAGCACGUCGCUCAAAAAACGUCGUAGUAUAGCAUGUCGUCCAAAAAACGUCAUAGUAUAGCAUGUCGCCCAAAAAACGUCAUGGUACAGACCUGAUCAAAAUCUUAAGACCAGUUGAAAAAUUGCUAGAAUUUACCUUUUGCACAUUUGGAACUUAAUGAGGUUUUGAGUAGAGCUACAAUAUGCAAAAGCAAGAAGGGGGAGUGAGACAAAAAGCACUUUGAAAAGUAAUUUAUUGAAAACAAGUAAACUGAAAUAGGCUGUUGAUCAGCUGAUCAAAAGUUUAAGACCAUCGCUCAAAAAAUUACAAAAAAAGUCUCCACACCAGAGCAAAAAAUUUUCUCAGUAGGACUCAGUAAUGAGUAGCUCCACCGUUUUUGUUAAUCGCUUCAAAAAUUCGUUUGGGCAUGGUUGAUGCGAGUGUUUCCAGGAGGCUGGUGGGAACAUUGCUCCAAGUGGUGAAGAUGGCUUCACGAAGGGCAUCAACUGUCUGGAACUGAUGGCCAUUUUUAUAAACUUCCCUUGCCAUCCAUCCCUAAAUGUUCUCUAUGGGAUUUAAAUCAGGGGAACAUGCGGGAUGGUCCAAAAGAGUGAUGUUAUUCUCCCUGAAGAAGUCCUUGGUCAAGCGAGCAUUGUGAACUGCAGCGUUGUCCUGUUGAAAAAGCCAGCUGUUACCACACAGACGAGGGCCCUCAGUCAUGAGGGAUGCCUGCUGCAACAUCUGCACGUAACCAGCUGCCGUUCGACGACCCUGCACCAACUGAAGCUCCAGUGUUCCACUGAAUGAAAAAGCACCCCAGAUCAUGAUGGACCCCCCUCCACUGUGCCGGGUAGAAAACAUCUCAGGUGGGAUCUCCUUGUCAUGCCAGUAACGUUGGAAGCCAUCUGGACCAUCAGGGUUAAAUUUUUUCUCAUCAGAGAACAAAACUUUUUUCCACCUUUCAGUGUCCCAUGUUUGAUGCUCCCUGGCAAAGUCUAAACGGGCAGUUUUGUGGCGGUGUAGGAGACGAGGUCUUUGAAUUUGUUUUUGAAACCCUUUUCCCGCAGAUGCCGUCUGAUGGUUAUUGCGCUGCAGUCGGCACCAGUAAGGGCCUUAAUUUGGGUCGAGGACCACCCUGUGUCUUGACGGACAGCCAAUCGGAUCCUCCAGCUCAGCGCAGGUGUAAUUUUUUUUGGGUCUACCACUUGACUUUUUUGUUCCAUAAUGCUCAGGAUCUUUCAAAAAAAUUUAAAAUGACUGUCUUACUGCGUCCAACCUCAGCAGCAAUGGCACGCUCCGAGAGGCCUUGCUUGUGCAGCUCGACGAUCCGACCACGUUCAAGAAGAGAAAGCUUCUUCGCUUUAGCCAUCAGGGGGGCAUGACCGUGUGAAUGCCUGGCAGAAAAUGAGAAUUUUGAGCAGAUUUGGGCUUUUAUAGCCUGUGGUCUUAAACUUUUGAUCAGCUGAUAAACAGCCUAUUUCAGUUUACUUGUUGUUUUCAAUAAAUUACUUUUUCAAAGUG